rnacentral:rRNA from 1 species
AUUGAACGCUGGCGGCAGGCUUAACACAUGCAAGUCGAGCGAGCGGCGGACGGGUGAGUAAUGUCUGGGAAACUGCCUGAUGGAGGGGGAUAACUACUGGAAACGGUAGCUAAUACCGCAUACCAUCAGAUGUGCCCAGAUGGGAUUAGCUAGUAGGUGGGGUAAUGGCUCACCUAGGCGACGAUCCCUAGCUGGUCUGAGAGGGUGACCAGCCACACUGGAACUGAGACACGGUCCAGACUCCUACGGGAGGCAGCAGUAGGGAAUAUUGCGCAAUGGGCGAAAGCCUGAUGCAGCCACGCCGCGUGUAUGAAGAAGGCCUUCGGAUUGUAAAGUACUGUCAGCGGGGAAGCGUUACCCGCAGAGAAAGCAACGGCUAACUCCGUGCCAGCAGCCGCGGUAAUUC